rnacentral:tRNA from 1 species
GUUUUUAUAAUUUAAAAAAAAUAUUGGUUUUGUAAACCAAAAAUAAAGUAACUUUUUAAAAACA